rnacentral:misc_RNA from 1 species
GGAAUCGGCUAUAUAAGCAACAAAAAGAUGAACUAAGGAAAAUAGCGUCAGAACUCAAGAGAAAAUGAGAAGCAAGCUGCAGUUUUGUACAUAGCGUACUUCUGGUACAGAUUUCUGACUUCUUGGACCUGACUUCUGGUAAUGGUGUUCUUGCAAUUAGUUCAUUGGAGUCAUGCAAGUCUUUUGUUCGAUUGACACAUCUGGUGGUUCAGGAUAGAUGACUACUAGACACUCCCUUACUUCUCCAAGCUCUUGGCAUUUUUGGAUGUACCAUAAUCCUUCCUACCUUCCUUGGUGACCUCAAACCUCAUAGUUGGGGCAAUUGAUUAAUGUCAAAGUCACAAAGUUUAGCUUGCAGCAAUAUACAUAUUUCUAUCCGAAAUUUU